rnacentral:tRNA from 1 species
GUUUUUAUAGUUUAAACCACCCUAAAACAUUGGUCUUGUAAACCAAUAAUGAAUUAAUUUCUAAAAACU